rnacentral:lncRNA from 1 species
CUGGAUGAUGAUGAGAUUUGGCCCUUAGUUCAUACAUUCUAUAACCCUCAAUUUGUGGGCCAUCUUAUCUUUGUCCCUUUGCUGGAUGCUAAUUGGUGGGCAUACAUUAUAUUGCUGGUCCAUCUGCCAUGGCUUCCUAUUUCACGUCUCUGAGCUGUGGGUAUUAUGAGGUCCCAACUAAUAUUUCAAUGAUCAAACUCACUGAUGGAAAUGGUUGGCACGAGUUAUAUAUGGGACACAUCUGGCAUGGAUUAACUUAUUUGCUUACUCGAUAUUGUGGGUCCAAUCGAUUCCCAAAUGAUGUUAUAAUGAAUAAUAUUACUGA